rnacentral:rRNA from 1 species
UAGGCAUGCGAGUCGCGCGAGAAUGUAGCAAUACAGGAAAGCGGCGAAAGGGAGAGGACAACAUGGGAAUCUGCCCUGGGGGCGAGGAUAGCGUCGGGAAACUGACGGUAAUACUCGAUAAUGUCUGCGGACCAAAGGUGUGAUUCCGCCCCAGGAUGUGCCCAUGUCCCAUUAGCUAGUUGGCGGUGUAAUGGACCACCAAGGCGAUGAUGGGUAGCUGGUGUGAGAGCACGACCAGCCUCACUGGCACUGAGACACUGGCCAGACACCUACGGGUGGCUGCAGUCGAGAAUCUUCGGCAAUGGACGAAAGUCUGACCGAGCGACGCCGCGUGUGGGAUGAAGGUCUUCGGAUUGUAAACCACUGUCGAGGGGAAUCAAAUGCAGGAGGGUCCUCCCUCUUGUUUGAGAGAACCCUGGAGGAAGGGGAGGCUAAGCUCGUGCCAGCAGCCGCGGUAAGACGAGCUCCCCGAACGUUAUUCGGUAUCACUGGGCUUAAAGAGUUCGUAGGCGGCGAAGUAGGUGAGGUGUGAAAGCCCUCGGCUCAACCGAGGAACUGCGCUUCAAACCGCUUUGCUAGAGGGAGAUAGGGGUAAGCGGAACAGAUGGUGGAGCGGUGAAAUGCAUUGAUAUCAUCUGGAACACCGGUGGCGAAAGCGGCUUACUGGGUCUUUUCUGACGCUGAGGAACGAAAGCUAGGGUAGCGAACGGGAUUAGAUACCCCGGUAGUCCUAGCCGUAAACGAUGAGCACUAGUCUGAGGGACUCUCACAGUCUCUCGGACGUAGCGAAAGUGUAAGUGCUCCGCCUGGGGAGUAUGGUCGCAAGGCUGAACUCAAAGGAUUGACGG